rfam:Zea mays cultivar B73 chromosome 10, whole genome shotgun sequence.
AAUGGGCGGGACAAAGGGUCGCGAUCUCGCAAGGGUGAGCUAACUCCAAAAACCCGUCCUCAGUUCGGAUUGCAGGCUGCAACUCGCCUGCAUGAAG